rnacentral:tRNA from 1 species
CGGGAUGUAGUAUACCGGUAGUACGCCUGCUUUGGGAGCAGGUAGACUGGGUUCGAUUCCCAGCAUCCCGACCA